UACGUAGGUGGCGAGCGUUGUCCGGAAUUACUGGGCGUAAAGGGCGCGUAGGCGGAUAUUUAAGUCAGAUGUGAAAACUCCGGGCUCAACUUGGAGAUUGCAUUUGAAACUGUGUAUCUUGAGGACAGGAGAGGAAAGCGGAAUUCCUAGUGUAGCGGUGAAAUGCGUAGAUAUUAGGAGGAACACCAGUGGCGAAGGCGGCUUUCUGGACUGUAACUGACGCUGAGGCGCGAAAGCGUGGGGAGCAAACGGGAUUAGAUACCCGGGUAGUCCCUGA
rnacentral:rRNA from 1 species